rnacentral:ncRNA from 2 species
UACUUUUGCACCGCUGAAGGUUUCUUUUCAGAAGAAUUAAUAGGGAAACCCGUGUAAAUCGGGUGCUGUUCCCGCAACUGUAACAUCCAGUUUGUAAAGGUGUAUCGACAUGCCACUGUCUCAGGUCUCCCCGACCGGAUGGGAAGGUGAUACACCCGGAUGAAGCCAGGAGACCUGCCUUUCGCGAUAUAUUAAA